rnacentral:rRNA from 1 species
AGAGUUUGAUCCUGGCUCAGAUUGAACGCUGGCGGCAUGCUUUACACAUGCAAGUCGAACGGCAGCACGGGUGCUUGCACCUGGUGGCGAGUGGCGAACGGGUGAGUAAUGCACCGGAACGUACCCAGUAAUGGGGGAUAACACAUCGAAAGAUGUGCUAAUACCGCAUACGCCCUGAGGGGGAAAGCGGGGGAUCGUAAGACCUCGCGUUAUUGGAGCGGCCGAUGCCGGAUUAGCUAGUUGGUGAGGUAAGAGCUCACCAAGGCGACGAUCCGUAGCUGGUCUGAGAGGACGACCAGCCACACUGGGACUGAGACACGGCCCAGACUCCUACGGGAGGCAGCAGUGGGGAAUUUUGGACAAUGGGCGCAAGCCUGACCCAGCCAUGCCGCGUGAGUGAAGAAGGCCUUCGGGUUGUAAAGCUCUUUCGCAAGGAAAGAAAACUUAUCUACUAA